CUCAGGUCCUGGCUGGCCCAAUAGGUGAGAGGCUACGGGUCUGACGUCGAGACUGGGAGCCAAUGAGCCCUGGGAGCGGGGCAAGCGGCGACAGGCACGCCAGAACCCCUGUGUCAGAUGCGACCAAGGAAAAUACACUGCAACAAAUGAGGGAUCUCCCUCUGUCUCAGGAAGAUUUGGAUGUGGCUAGACAGACCCCCUCCCCUCAGUCAUUCCGCCACCUCAAAGAUGUGGAAUGCUGAGUUUAAUUCAAGACGUAGCCUCCUCCCAGUAAUUUUUAAUUGAAUUGUGUUGAACUAGAAAUGAAGAAGUGGCACUUCACCGUGUCCAUGCAUUUGUUCCUCACAUGCACCCUGGACUUGCCCUUCUUUCAACCUGAGAUGUUCUUUCCUUCAGUGCUUCUCUCUUUGCAGCCUGAUUCUUCUUUUUAUCUUGUAUGCUAUGAAAGGGGUUGUUAUGUGCAGGGGACCCUCAGAAUACUAUGCUCCACAGUUGCAAAGUGACUGGUGAGGGAGAAGUGAAUAGGGUCUAAGGCCAAAAUCAGUUUAUGCAAAUUGUUCUCAACAAGCCU
rnacentral:lncRNA from 1 species